CUGGAGUGGUUGCCAUGCCCUCCUCCAGGGGAUCUCGACUGGAAGAACCCACUUCUCUUAUGUCUCCUGCAUUGGCAGGUGGGUUCUUUACCACUAGGGCCACCUGGGAAGCAAUGUUUGCUUAAAAACAAAACAAAAAAAAACACUAACAAAACUUUCAUAGCUGCUGCCUUCAUAUCAUUUUCCACUGCUCUCUACCCCUUUCAUCCUUAAUGUCCCCUGAUCUCAAGCAGAAAGUGUCCCCUCUUCUGGUUCUGCCCUCCAGCUUCUCUUUGGGGCCCUGGAAUCUUGACAUUCACCUUGUGAAAUUCCUAAAUGUGCCUGUUUUUUUUUUUUUUUUUUGGUUUCUCGUGUCUCAUUCAUCUCUGGGCAUCUUCUGAGAGAAGGAGCAGUUACAUCCAUUGUACCAUUUUCUACAAUGUAAUUUUUUUUUAUAAGCAUUGCUAAUUUUUUCCAUUUGUGAGCCUUAAUCAGUGGUAUUUAAUAGCUACAUUAAGAGGAAAGAUAAAAUCAAAAGAAAAGGAAUUUUAAAAUACCAUUGGCAAAUGAUUUAAAACCACCAAAUUAUCAAAACAAUAAUUAAAUACAAACUGAAUUUUAUCCUCAUUAUAGAAAUAUGUAGGCAAAUCACAGACUGUGUAGCCGUCAGGGCUGGCACUCCUGAUCCAGAGUUCUGCAGCUGUACCACCCCGGCUGACUCUUCUGGGCUCAGCUGCAUCUGGCUGUGGCCCAGAUUCUUUCCUGAGCUGUAGAUCAAACAGAGGAAAAGGUUUGGUGGAGAAGAUAGCUCAGACCCUUGGAGCUUACUAGGAGAAGUUAAAAUCUUGAUAAAAUCCUAGGAAUCCAAAGGAAAAAAGAAAUUAGUAUAUACUGUUAUUCCAGAUCUUUUGCCAAGAUCCAGAGAAUCUCGGGUUAGGCCCAUUUCAGGCUUCCCGUAUGACUCAGCAGUAAAGAAUCUGCCUGCAAUGCAGGAGACUCAGGUUCAAUCCCUGUGUUGAAAAGAUCCCCUGGAGAAGAAAAUGACAACUCACUCCAGUAAUCUUCCCUGGGAAAUCCCAUGGACAGAGGAGCCUGGGGGCUACAGUCCAUGGGGUUGCAAGAGUUGGACACAACUUAGCAGCUCAACCACCAUCACCUAAGUACCUCAUAUAAGUGGAAUCAUACAGUAUUUGUCUAAAAAAAAAAAAAAAAACUGGCUUAUUUCACUAAACAUAAUGACCUAAAGCUUCAUUGACAUUGUGGCAUUUAGCAGAAUUUCCUUCUUUUUAAAGGCUGAAUAUAAUUUUUUUGUAUGCAUAUAUACAUUUUGGUUAUCCAUUGAUCCAUCAGUGGACACUUGAGUUGCUUCCACAUUUUAGCUAUUGUGAAGAAUGCAACAAUGAACAUGGAUGCAAAACCCUGCUUUCCACUUUUUGGUAUAUAUCCAGAAGUGGAGUUGCUGGAUCAUAUGGUAAUUCAGCUUUAAAUAGAAUUAUUCAAUAGUGCAUAAGGAUUCCAAUUUCUUUACGUUUGCCAAAACUUGUUUUCUGGUUUUUUUCACUUGUUUGGUUUUUUUUUUUUUGAAUAAUAUCCAUUCUACUGGGUGUAAGUUGGUUUCUCAUUGUGGGUUUGUUUGCAUUUCCCUAGUCAUUAGUAAUGUUGAGCAUCUUUUUUAUGUGCUUAUUUCCCACUUGUGUUUUUUGAGAAAUGUUUUUUCACUGCUUCCUUUCUAAUUUGGAUACCUUUUAUUUCCUUUUCUUGCCUAGUUUGUCUGAUAGGACUUCCAGUACUAUGUUUUAUUCCUUUUACUCCCAGUUUUAUUGAGAGAUAAAUGAUGUAUCACUAAGCUGUGUCCUACUCUUUGCAACCCCAUGAACUGUAGACCACCAGGCUCCUCUGUCCAUGGGAUUUCCCAGGCAAGAAUACUGGAGUAGGCUGCCAUUUCCUUUUCCAGGGGAUCUUCCCACCCAGGAAUCAAACCCAUGUUUCCUGCAUUAGCAGCCAGAUUAUUUACCACUGAGCCACCAGAGAAGCCCCCAUGCCACUGUAUAUUUAAGGUGUAAACAUGAUGGUUUGAUUUACAUACAUUGUGAAAUGAUGACCACAAUAGGUUUAGUUAAUAUUUAUUAUCUCAUACAAACACAAUAAAAAGAAAAAAGUCUUCCUGUGAUGAGAAUUCUUAGGCUCUCCUCUCUUAACAACUUUCUUGUAUAUCAGUUAUUUAUAGUCAUUGUGUUGUACAUUAUAUACCUUGUAGUUAUUUAUAACUGGAGUUUUGUACCUUUUCCACUCACAGAAAUUAACUCAAAAUGGAUUAAAGACUGAAAUUUAAGACCUGAACCCAUGAAACUCCUGGAGGAAAAAAAAGGAAAAAAAGCUCCUUGACAUGCGAACUUAUACCAAAAGCACACACAACAAAGUUAAAAAUAAACAAGUGGGGCUACAACGAACGAAGAAAGCUUCUGCACAGCAAAAGAAACAAUCAACAGAGUGAAAAGAGUACCUAAGGAAUGGGAAAAAUAUUUGCAAACCAUAUAUCUGAUAAGGGGUUAAUAGUCAAAUAAAGAAUUUAUACAAAUUUGAUGUCAGUAGCAAAACAUCAAUACUAUAUUGAAUAGAAGUGGCAACAGUGGGCAUCCUUGUCUUAUUCUUGAUCUUAGAGGAAAGUUUUCUGUCUGUCCCCAUUAGUGUGAUGCAUGCUGUGGGUUUUUCAUAUAUGUCUUUUAUUUUAUUGAGGUAUAUCAGUGUUUAAUUUUGAAACUAUAGUUUUUCUAAAGGCCUGAUUUCAGGAUAGGUAGUUUUAUUGUGUAAAAGGCAAUGACGGGAACAACAGCCAUGCUCAUAAUGAUUAGGUGAUGGUGUAGAGAGAAAAUCAUUAUAUCUAAAAGAUCUUGGGCUGAUUCACAACUCUUCAGUUUUAUGGUUAUUGGAUUUGAACAAGGUGCUUCACUUGUAUGAGUCGCCAGUUUCCUGUCUGUGGAAUUGCCCUCAGAAAGUUGUAUGCGUGCUUUAAAAAUUUCAGGUGCUUUUGUGUCCACACCUGCAUUGUGCGCAUGAAGAGUAUACUACUUUUCUGUAUUCUUUGUGGUAGAGCGAGAGAGAAGUGAUUUCCUUAAUACUGUAUCCCCACUUAGCUCACUUCUUCCAUUCACCUCGAAUUAUACAUGCACAUAGGGAACGGUCAUUUAUUCUUCAACCCCAGUGUUAACUGGAAGUUCAUUCAACCAGCAUUUAAGUUCUCAGAGCUGGUGGUGCACCCCACCAUUUGGAUGUGAGGGCGAUUGGGCUGCGACAUCUGUCACCCAUUGGUCUCCAGGGUCGAUUUGGCUGACCCGGGUGUCCCCUUCUUCCCUUACCACUAUGUGCGCCCUUCCCAUCAUGUACUUGCUAAGCCCUGUCAGCUCCCUUUCGCACCAGCAUGGAGUGUGUGAGGACGAGUCACCGGUUACAGUGAUGUGCUUACUACAGUGCAUGACCAGGGCAGAUGAAAGUAACUCUU
ensembl:lncRNA